rnacentral:ncRNA from 1 species
GCCAAAUGCCUCGUCAUCUAAUUAGUUUUUUUUAUGAAUGGAUUAACGAGAUUCUCACUGUCCCUAUCUACUA